GACAAGGUGGCCAAGUGGUUAAGGUGAUGGACUGCUAAUCUAUUGUGUUCUGCACGUGUGGGUUCGAUUCCCUUCCUUGUCG